UAAUUUGAUAAUCCGCAAAAAACCUUACCACAGCUUGAAUAUUUAUAUUUUUAUAUAUUUACAAGCGUUGCACGGCUGUCUUCAGUUAAUGUCGUGAGAUUUUGGUUAGAUCCAUUAAAUUAACGUAAGCCCUUACUUUAUUUAUAAAUAAAGUUGUUCCCCACUAUAUUGGAUAUGAUAACAGGGACUAAGAUAAGUCAUCAUGGCCUUAAUGCUGU
rnacentral:rRNA from 1 species